CGCCUUAUACUCCUACGGGAGGCAGCAGUGGGGAAUAUUGGACAAUGGGCGAAAGCCUGAUCCAGCCAUGCCGCGUGUGUGAAGAAGGUCUUCGGGUUGUAAAGCACUUUAAGUUGGGAGGAAGGGCAGUUACCUAAUACGUGAUUGUUUUGACGUUACCGACAGAUUAAGCACCGGCUAACUCUGUGCCAGCAGCCGCGGUAAUACAGAGGGUGCAAGCGUUAAUCGGAAUUACUGGGCGUAAAGCGCGCGUAGGUGGUUUGUUAAGUUGGAUGUGAAAUCCCCGGGCUCAACCUGGGAACUGCAUUCAAAACUGACUGACUAGAGUAUGGUAGAGGGUGGUGGAGUUUCCUGUGUAGCGGUGAAAUGCGUAGAUAUAGGAAGGAACACCAGUGGCGAAGGCGACUACCUGGACUGAUACUGACACUGAGGUGCGAAAGCGUGGGGAGCAAACAGGAUUAGAAACCCCUGUAGUCCACGUACCA
rnacentral:rRNA from 1 species